rfam:Triticum aestivum genome assembly, contig: Triticum_aestivum_CS42_TGACv1_scaffold_405387_5BL
AUUCUACUCCCUCUGUUGCACAAUACAUGCCUUCUAUUUGUCAAAAUAUAUAUGUAUCUAGACAUGUUUUAGUAUAUAGGCACAUCCAUUUUUGGACAAAUGGAAGUCAAGUAUUUUGGAACGGAGGGAGUACACA